rnacentral:rRNA from 1 species
GUAGGUGGCAAGCGUUGUCCGGAAUUAUUGGGCGUAAAGCGCGCGCAGGCGGUUCUUUAAGUCUGAUGUGAAAGCCCACGGCUCAACCGUGGAGGGUCAUUGGAAACUGGAGAACUUGAGUACAGAAGAGGAAAGCGGAAUUCCACGUGUAGCGGUGAAAUGCGUAGAGAUGUGGAGGAACACCAGUGGCGGAGGCGGCUCUCUGGUCUGUAACUGGCGCUGAGGCGCGAAAGCGUGGGGGAGCAAACAGGAUUAGAUACCCUGGUAGUCCACGCCGUAAACGAUGAGCGCUAAGUGUUAGGGGGUUUCCGCCCCUUAGUGCUGCAGCUAACGCAUUAAGCACUCCGCCUGGGAGUACGGCCGCAAGGCUG